rnacentral:rRNA from 1 species
AGAGUUUGAUCCUGGCUCAGAGCGAACGCUGGCGGCAGGCUUAACACAUGCAAGUCGAGCGGGCGUAGCAAUACGUCAGCGGCAGACGGGUGAGUAACGCGUGGGAACGUACCUUUUGGUUCGGAACAACACAGGGAAACUUGUGCUAAUACCGGAUAAGCCCUUACGGGGAAAGAUUUAUCGCCGGAAGAUCGGCCCGCGUCUGAUUAGCUAGUUGGUGAGGUAACGGCUCACCAAGGCGACGAUCAGUAGCUGGUCUGAGAGGAUGAUCAGCCACAUUGGGACUGAGACACGGCCCAAACUCCUACGGGAGGCAGCAGUGGGGAAUAUUGGACAAUGGGCGCAAGCCUGAUCCAGCCAUGCCGCGUGAGUGAUGAAGGCCCUAGGGUUGUAAA